AAAAGUUAUAAGUCUAGGUGCAUUAGAAAAUCCAAACAAUAAAUUCCUAUAAAAUAGAAAACACUCCUACUCUCUAGUAAAUUCAUUUGAACUCUUAUUUUAACCUAAAGAAGCAGUACCGCAAGGGAAAGAUGAAAUACCCAUAAUUAAACAAACCUAAAACAGGAAAGACUAAGCCUUUUACCUUGUGUAUAAUGGAUUAACGAGAAAUAUAAGAAAACCCAUUCUAAUCCCGAAACUGGACGAGCUAAUCUUCCCUCCUUUUUAGAAGGAUAUCCCCACUGUUGCAAUAGUGGAAAAAAAGGGGAGAUUAGAUGUGAAAUGCUAACCGCGCCCAGAGAUAGCUGGUUUCCCAAAAAAUUAGUUUGAGCUAAGCCCCGAUAAGAAAAAUAAAACUCCUUUAAUAAUAUAAAAAGAAUCUUUUAAUUUUUAAGCAGAGGUUAGGGCCUUAAGGAUAAGCUUAAAGCCCACAAUGGAAAAAUCCAACAUUGAUAGUUAAAGACAACAAGCCCCCAAAAUAGCUAUUCUCGAAGGAAUAGGCCUAGAAGCAGCCACUUAACAAGAAAGCGUUAAAGCUCAAUUGUUCUUGCUAGCUAAAAAAUUUUUGGUGAUCAUCUCUAAUACUACAAAAAUUUAUUGGGACAUUCUGUAAUCAGAAGAGACAAUGUUAAUAUAAGUAAGAAAGCUUCACCUGCGUUUUAUACGCUUUUAACCAUGGAAGAGAAAACAUUGAAACUAAGAAUCCUGUUUUUAAGGUCGUCUUCCAACUCAGGAGAAGAAAAAUAAAAGAAGUGAAGAAAAGGAACUCGGCAAAUAAGGGUUUCGCCUGUUUACCAAAAACAUCGCUCCCCGAAUUUAAAACAUGGGGAGUCCUGCCUGCCCAGUGACUAGAGGUUAAACGGCCGCGGUAUCUUGACCGUGCGAAGGUAGCAUAAUCAUUUGUCUCCUAAAUAGAGACUAGUAUGAAUGGCAAGACGGAACUAAACUGUCUCUUUUUCAUAGCCCUGAAUUUCACCUCCCCGUGAAGAGGCGGGGAUAAAAUCGUUAGACGAGAAGACCCUGUCGAGCUUUGAGCGGAAGUUAAAAUUUUAACACACUUACCUUGCGACUAACUAAUAUACCUAUCCAACAGUAAGUUUUAAACUAUUUAGCAAAAGCUUUGGUUGGGGCAACCGCGGAGUAAGAAGAUCCUCCGCUAAUAGAAUAUUACUAUAAUAAGAAUUACAAUUCUACAAUCAAAAUGAAAGAGUGAUCCACUAAGGUGAUCAAAGAAACAAGUUACCGCAGGGAUAACAGCGUUAUCUUUUCUGAGAGUUCACAUUGACGAAAAGGUUUGCGACCUCGAUGUUGGAUCGGGACAUCCUGAGGGUGCAGAAGCUUUUAAGGGUUGGUCUGUUCGACCAUUAAAGUCCUACGUGAUCUGAGUUCAGACCGGCGAGAGCCAGGUCAGUUUCUAUCUACGUUAAGGUCUCUCUUAGUACGAAAGGACCAGAGAGAAAGUGUCUAUGCAAGAAACGUAAGCACUUCAAUUAAAAACAUGCA
rnacentral:rRNA from 1 species